AGGAAGUUUAGGAGGGAGGCCUCCGAGGAGGCUGAUGGGAGAGGAGAGCCGGCAGACCGAGAGAGCACCAGCUCCAUCUCUAACCAACUAUCUACCAGUCUCUCCAUCAACAUCUGCUGAGCUAUGAGCCAAACCAGGGAUUUACAGGGAGGAAAAGCCUUCGGGCUGCUGAAGGCCCAGCAGGAAGAGAGACUCGAUGAAAUCAACAAGCAGUUCCUGGAUGAUCCCAAAUAUAGCAGUGAUGAGGAUCUGCCCUCCAAACUGGAAACCUUCAAGAAGAAAUACAUGGAGUUUGACCUGAAUGGAAACGGAGAUAUCGAUAUCAUGUCCUUGAAGCGGAUGCUGGAGAAACUGGGGGUCCCCAAGACCCACCUGGAGCUCAAGAAAUUAAUCAGGGAGGUGUCCGGCGGCUCUGGGGAGACUUUCAGCUACUCUGACUUCCUCAAGAUGAUGCUGGGCAAGAGAUCUGCCAUCUUAAAAAUGAUCCUGAUGUAUGAGGAGAAAGCGAGAGAACAGGAGAAGCCAGCAGGUCCCCCAACCAAGAAAAAUAUCUCUGAGUUGCCCUAAUUUGUGGUAGGGGAAUGUUGUGAGAUUGAUGGGGAUUCUAAUGAUCCCAACAUGGAAAAAGGACACAGAAUUAUGAGCCAGAGCAACAAGAAUGAACAAACCACAACUACAUGCAACAAUGUGGAUGAACUUCUUCAACAUAAUGUUGAGCAAAAGAAGACAGACACAGGAAAACUCUUACUGUAUAAUUCCAUCUGUAUAAAGUACAAAAAAGG